AUUGAACGCUGGCGGCAGGCCUAACACAUGCAAGUCGGGCGGUAGCACAGAGAAGCUUGCUUCUUGGGUGACGAGCGGCGGACGGGUGAGUAACGCGUGGGAAUCUACCUGGUAGUGGGGGACAACAGUCGGAAACGACUGCUAAUACCGCAUACGCCCUUUGGGGGAAAGUGGGGGAUCUUCGGACCUCACGCUAUCAGAAGAGCCCGCGUCGGAUUAGCUGGUUGGUGGGGUAAGAGCCUACCAAGGCGAUGAUCCGUAGCUGGUCUGAGAGGAUGACCAGCCACACUGGGACUGAGACACGGCCCAGACUCCUACGGGAGGCAGCAGUGGGGAAUAUUGGACAAUGGGGGCAACCCUAAUCCAGCCAUGCCGCGUGUGUGAAGAAGGCCUUCGGGUUGUAAAGCACUUUCAGCUGUGAGGAAAGGUGAGUGGUUAAUACCCGCUUACUGUGACGUUAACGGCAGAAGAAGGACCGGCUAACUCCGUGCCAGCAGCCGCGGUAAUACGGAGGGUCCGAGCGUUAAUCGGAAUUACUGGGCGUAAAGCGCGCGUAGGUGGUUCAGUCAGUCAGAUGUGAAAGCCCCGGGCUCAACCUGGGAACUGCACCUGAUACUGCUGAGCUAGAGUAC
rnacentral:rRNA from 1 species